CUGUGCAAUGUUCAUUUCUUUUUCGUGUCUUACCGUGCUGGUCAGGACCUCCAGCACAAUGUUGAAUACAAAUGCACAUCCCUGUCUUGCUCCAGAUUGUAAAGUGACUGUGCCUGGCAUGUCUCCAUGAAGUGUGACUUUUGCCAUAUGUGUUCUAAUAAAUAGACUGGAUCCCCAAAUCUUCAUCACCCACAGCACACACACACACACACCCUCUUGAUUCUGUGACCAGUACCCAUAUACCUGUCUACACACACAUAAAUCUGAAAUAGAUACUGCCCCCAGAUUCUACUUGUCCUGACUGCAUGUGACAUUUUCUGUUCUGCUGUCUUCUGUCCUAUCUUACUCCAUCUUGUUCCAUUCUGAUCAAUUCUGUUCUCUUCAUUUGAUGUGCUAAGCUUAUUAACUUAAUAUCUAGAUGUUUUCUUUCACCAAAAGAUGAUUUCACAAUCCUGAAAUGCAUGGCCACACUCGGUUGGAAAGCAACAGUGGCAUUGCUUUAGAAGGUUUACAAGAUGGGGAAAUGCUCCCCUACUCAUAGGAAAUCUACCUGAUUUUGUUUAACUGUGGAUGGAGUGAGUUGUAAAGUAUGUGAGAGAGAGAGACUAAGGAUGACUUCAGGGAUCUGGUCCCAUGUGCCUGAAAAGGUGGCCUUGUCACCUCUUGAGAUGGGAGAAGGCAGGGGUCAGCAGACCCUCACGUGGGGAUGCAGCUGGAUGGAGAAACCUGGCUGGAGACUGGUGGCACUGGUCCUGGACUUUCCCUGAGCCUUUGUCCAUUCACAUGUCCUUCAUCGUGUUAACCACACAUGUGUUCCCCUGCAGGUUGUUGGCCCCUCCUGUAAGAUCUCACAUGUUCUGGGCCCUCAUGGAAGGUGGAGUCCUCAUGGGUCUCUCUGUCACAGAUGAAUAA
rnacentral:lncRNA from 1 species